UAGGUUGUACCCUGCGAUGGACUGACGUCCCAUCCAGGGUGUACGGGACCCUUGCUGGAUGAGCUCCGGAUCACCUUGACCCUGCUCAGCACAAGCGGUGAUGCAUGGUCUCAGCUGGGGGUCCACGGUUCACGCUGCCAGCUCCAGCCCAUCUCAGCUUCCGCUCCCCCAGAGCUCUGCUGUGCCCAGCAGCCCACGGCCCACUCGCUGCACCCGCACGGGGGAUUACCGGGAGGAGGGAGGACGGCAGAGUAACCGCUUUGGUCUCAGCCCGUUUGCCAGCGAUUCGCAGCGUGCUUCUCUAUUCUGGGACGGGAAAGAGAGCGGAACAGGGCCACAAAAACAAUCUCAAACUAUUGUUCCACACCCUAUUAAAAUUCCAGAGAGGAUCCCACUAUUCAAGAAGAACUCGAUAAAUCGGGGAACAUUAAAUGUCUUUUCCUUGUAAUUGAUAUUGGUAUCAAAAGAGUAUGGCUAUUAAAAUGGAAGUGUGUGUUUAUCCAGUGUCAAGAAAAAUGCACUUCAGCAGUUCCGAGCCAAAGCCGCUGUAGCUGGUUCUCCAGAUACCGAGUGUUUCGCGUCUGUAGCUCCGAACACAAAGCUGCCAGGACUGGCGCCGGUGCGAAAGAACGAGUGGUAGUGACACCUGGAAGGCCCCUCUGCCCAUGUUCUCCCGCUAGACAGGGGCCACAGCUGGUGCAGGUGGACCGGGCCACACCUGGCUGGGAGGAUCAACACAGAUGAGGAGUGACAACCUGGCUUCUCUUGCGGUGUCGUCUCUGACAGCCGCAUCACGUCCCUCUUUCAAAGUAAGCUUUCAGGGCGCGCUGUUCUGCCCCAAUGAGUUGAAAGUGUGUUUACUCCCUUCCGCAGCCUCUCGUGUUCAC
rnacentral:lncRNA from 1 species